ACUUCCUUCUUCCUUCUACCUGGAACACAAGCAAGAUUGCAAGGGCUGCACCAGCCAUCUUUGACCAUGAGAAUGUUCCACAGGAGCAGAGGCCACGUCUGUUUGCUGCCCUGUUCACCUAUAUCUCCGGUGCCUAGAACAGUGCCUGGCACACAGUAGGCACUUGAUAAAUACCUUCAACCUCUCCUUCAGCCAGAAUCUGCUUCCAGAGGAACUGCCUGCCCACCACCCCAUCCCCAGGCCACCAAGAUGAAACCCUAGAAGCCUUAUUUUGGAGACCACUGCCAACCCAUACAUUUGCAGGCUGUGUGCAAACUAGGACAGAGGACACCUUCCAAAAAUUAAUUUUUUUAUUGAGAUAUAAUUCACAGACCA